UACGUAGGGGGCAAGCGUUGUCCGGAAUUAUUGGGCGUAAAGGGCACGCAGGCGGUGGUUUAAGUUUGGUGUUUAAUCCCAGGGCUCAACCCUGGUUCGCACUGAAAACUGGAUCACUUGAGUACAGAAGAGGAGAGUGGAAUUCCACGUGUAGCGGUGAAAUGCGUAGAGAUGUGGAGGAACACCAGUGGCGAAGGCGACUCUCUGGUCUGUAACUGACGCUGAGGUGCGAAAGCGUGGGUAGCAAACAGG
rnacentral:misc_RNA from 1 species